rnacentral:rRNA from 1 species
GAAGGAGGAGCUUGCUUCUCUGGAUGAGUUGCGAACGGGUGAGUAACGCGUAGGUAACCUGCCUGGUAGCGGGGGAUAACUAUUGGAAACGAUAGCUAAUACCGCAUAACAGUAGAUGUUGCAUGACAUUUGCUUAAAAGGUGCAAUUGCAUCACUACCAGAUGGACCUGCGUUGUAUUAGCUAGUUGGUGGGGUAACGGCUCACCAAGGCGACGAUACAUAGCCGACCUGAGAGGGUGAUCGGCCACACUGGGACUGAGACACGGCCCAGACUCCUACGGGAGGCAGCAGUAGGGAAUCUUCGGCAAUGGACGGAAGUCUGACCGAGCAACGCCGCGUGAGUGAAGAAGGUUUUCGGAUCGUAAAGCUCUGUUGUAAGAGAAGAACGAGUGUGAGAGUGGAAAGUUCACACUGUGACGGUAUCUUACCAGAAAGGGACGGCUAACUACGUGCCAGCAGCCGCGGUAAUACGUAGGUCCCGAGCGUUGUCCGGAUUUAUUGGGCGUAAAGCGAGCGCAGGCGGUUAGAUAAGUCUGAAGUUAAAGGCUGUGGCUUAACCAUAGUACGCUUUGGAAACUGUUUAACUUGAGUGCAAGAGGGGAGAGUGGAAUUCCAUGUGUAGCGGUGAAAUGCGUACAUAUAUGGAGGAACACCGGUGGCGAAAGCGGCUCUCUGGCUUGUAACUGACGCUGAGGCUCGAAAGCGUGGGGAGCAAACAGGAUUAGAUANCCUGGUAGUCCACGCCGUAAACGAUGAGUGCUAGGUGUUAGACCCUCUCCGGGGCUUAGUGCC